AAACAUUCUCUGCAAUCUAAAAUAAAUCACAUCCAUUACAUUCAAUAAGUGAAGAUCACGUUAUGCACUAUAAUGAUUUUAAUUGUAAAUCUGGAUGGUCCAUGCACUCACUUGUAUGAGGAGGAAUGGCCAAUUUUAUAUUUAACUUUAAUAAGUGAAGGUGGGGAUUUCAGUUAAUACUAUUACAUUCUGAUACGAACGCAAACUAACGGAAGAUAACUAAGCUAAGUAUAGAAAUUGAAUCUGAAUUUUUCUCCCCUUUUUAUUCAAUCAUUAUCGCUUAUAUAAUAGUUUCCAUACAAGAUAUUUUAUGGAAUUGGUUAUAACGGAAAUAUGAAAUGUGCAGAAUUCGUGGAGUAGUGGAUUCAUCACGUGGGAAUUAAGCUGAAAGGAUCUUCUAGAAUGACGCCAAGGAUUCACUCGAAAUCAUUCAAGUAAGUGGGUUUUCGGGUCACCAUUUUGGGCCUGCUAUUGUUGCCAUUGAUGCUGUUGUGGGGUUCUCUGUUCUGCAUAUUGCUAUCAACACCCGCGCCUCCGAAAACAACCUCGUCCUCGAGGUUGUAGGACUGUUGUAAAUCGUCCCAAAGUUCCCAAGAAGUAUCCUCAGGAGGAAGACCCAUCCAUUGAACGAGGACCAGGCGCCGGGGAGGGGUAACGGAAGAAUCUAAUUUCCAGUCCAAAAUGGUCAAAGGUGUGACCACGGGGUGAUGAUCCACGGCCAAAGGAGGAAGGGGAAUGAUAUCGGACGGAGGGGCUCCUUGGUGUGCCUUCAAAAGGGAAAUAUGGAAAACGUUGUGGAUACGGGAAUCAUUGGGUAAGGCGAGCUUGUAGGCCACGGGGCCUAUGCGCUCGGUCACCUGGUAAGGGCCGAAGUAGCGUUUGGCCAACUUGGAAUAUGUGGGAUUCAAGGACUUCUGGCGGUAUGGACGGAGGCGGAGAUAUACCCAGUCGCCGACAGUGUACUGGACGUCACGGCGAUGCUUAUCGGCAUUGGUCUUCAUCUGCGAGGAGAAGGUGCAAUCGUGAUUUGCAGCGGUGACCGGGGGACCAUUUGUCGUCACAAUGGUAACAGAGCCCCUGGUCACGGCGCAGUGCGAGCUCCUCUGCCGACAAACGUUUCACGGUGAGUUUCGGGGAAUGGAAGGGAAGGGGGGAAGGGGCCUUAGGGGAAGAGUGUAUAGUGGUUGAGGAAGGGGUUGGUGUCGGAAGCGGGAGGGGCGGCGGUGGUGGUGGUCGGUGGCCCCGGCGGCGGUCCAGUAGUUUAUCUUCCUGGAGGCGGGCCAGUUCAAUCGCCUGAGGAAGAGACAUUGGACGAAGCGCCUGGACUUCACGGCGGAGUUCCGGGAUUAAUCCGGAAAUGAAGCAGCUCAACAAUGAAGAGGGAGCGAUGCCAAUGGUGCGAUUGGCCAAACGUUCGAAAGCUGUGAGAUAGUCACCGACGGAUCCGGUUUGCUGGAGUUUGAAUAAAGUCCCCUGGGGGUCAUCAUAAUAGGAAGGGGCAAAUCGGGAUUCUAAGGCCUGCAGCAUCGCCGGCCAAGAAGAGAAUAACCCAUUCCAGUGCAUCCAUUGAUACCAGGAGAGGGCGGGUCCGUCCAUAUAGAACGAGGCAAUGGUGAGACGUUCGAGCUCGGGAAUCCCCUGGUAAUCAAAGAACUGGGAUAUUUUAAAUAUCCAACCAAGGGGGUCGUGGCCGUCGAAGCGAGGGACAUCGAGUUUCAGGUGGUGGUGCCGGGCAACGGGGGGCGGAGGUAUUAACGGGGAUGAAUUGGGGGUGGGAGAGUUUGUGUGUUGCAGGGAGAUGGCCGCGAGACAGUCGAAGAGGGAUUCAAUCUGAGAGGUGAGUGAAUUGUGGAUGGUAUCGAUUUUGGAAUUGAGGGAUUGGUGACCUUGUGAUAAGGAAGUUUGGCCUUCGGUCAGGGCGGCUUGGGUCUGGGAAAGACGAAGGACGGCCUCUUCGAGCUUAUCGGUGGUCGUCUGGCGGGUAUGGUGGUCGGGCAUGGCUGGGAAAAAAAAGCAGGUCGGACCAGUUUGAUACGAACGCAAACUAACGGAAGAUAACUAAGCUAAGUAUAGAAAUUGAAUCUGAAUUUUUCUCCCCUUUUUAUUCAAUCAUUAUCGCUUAUAUAAUAGUUUCCAUACAAGAUAUUUUAUGGAAUUGGUUAUAACGGAAAUAUGAAAUGUGCAGAAUUCGUGGAGUAGUGGAUUCAUCACGUGGGAAUUAAGCUGAAAGGAUCUUCUAGAAUGACGCCAAGGAUUCACUCGAAAUCAUUCAAGUAAGUGGGUUUUCGGGUCACCCUUUUGGGCCUGCUAUUGUUGCCAUUGAUGCUGUUGUGGGGUUCUCUGUUCUGCAUAUUGCUAUCACAUUCACUUGAAAGAACUUUACCAAAUUGAAAUUAACUUUCAAGUAGAAAAUUGAUCUCUCUAUCUCUCUCUCUCUCUCUCUCUCUCUCUCUCUCUCUCUCUCUCUCUCUCUCUCUCUCUCUCUCUCUCUCUCUCUCUCUCUCUCUCUCUCUCUCUCUCUCUCUCUCUCUAUAUAUAUAUAUAUAUAUAUAUAUAUAUAUAUAUAUAUAUAUAUAUAUAUGUUUUAUUUAUUUGGAAGCUAUAAUUGUCGAGGAGCU
rnacentral:lncRNA from 1 species